CAGGCCCACGAUGCUGUGAACUAUUUGCACGAAAUAUCACAGUGGCAGGAGCGAGACGAUCAGAUUACUGUACAGUUGACCCUGUUUUUGGCAAAGCUGAAUGGCGCCCCCAUCGCUUUGACAACAUGGAGUUUUUUACCAGUCACCAAGGACUUCGUGUUAACGGUUAUUGGAGCGCUGUUUACGUACUUCGUCAUUGUUGCACAGACACUGCCCAUGUCCCACCAGCAGCAAACUUGAACCACGUUUCCCAAUGCAGCCUGAAAGAUGACCCCAAAAACCUGCGAGAGUUUACGCGAGAACACAGCACAUCAGGGCACCGUGUCUAGGAUCUACAACGUGUGUACCGUCCUAUUCUUUGCGUUUUUACUUGUGUCCUGACUGGGCCCAUCCAAUUAAGGUCAAUACAGGGUGUGUAAAAAAAAAACGAAUCCCAAAUGGCA